rnacentral:rRNA from 1 species
UACGGGGGGGGUAAGCGUUGUUCGGAAUUACUGGGCGUAAAGGGCUCGUAGGUGGCCAACUAAGUCAGACGUGAAAUCCCUCGGCUUAACCGGGGAACUGCGUCUGAUACUGGUUGGCUUGAGUUUGGGAGAGGGAUGCGGAAUUCCAGGUGUAGCGGUGAAAUGCGUAGAUAUCUGGAGGAACACCGGUGGCGAAGGCGGCAUCCUGGACCAACACUGACGCUGAGGAGCGAAAGCCAGGGGAGCAAACGGG